rnacentral:rRNA from 1 species
GACGAACGCUGGCGGCGUGCCUAAUACAUGCAAGUCGAGCGCAGGUAAUCGACGGAACCCUUCGGGGGGAAGUCGACGGAAUGAGCGGCGAACGGGUGAGUAACACGUAAAGAACCUGCCCUCAGGUCUGGGAUAACCACGAGAAAUCGGGGCUAAUACCGGAUGGGUCAUCGGACCGCAUGGUCCGAGGAUGAAAGGCGCUUCGGCGUCGCCUGGGGAUGGCUUUGCGGUGCAUUAGCUAGUUGGUGGGGUAAUGGCCCACCAAGGCGACGAUGCAUAGCCGACCUGGGAGGGGGAUCGGCCACCAUGGGACUGAGACACGGCCCAGACUCCUACGGGAGGCAGCAGUAGGGAAUCUUCCAAAAUGGACGAAAGUCUGAUGGAGCAACGCCGCGUGAACGAUGAAGGCCUUCGGGUCGUAAAGUUCUGUUGUAAGGGAAGAACAAGUGCCGCAGGCAAUGGCGGCACCUUGACGGUACCUUGCGAGAAAGCCACGGCUAACUACGUGCCAGCCGCCGCCGUAA